rnacentral:lncRNA from 1 species
AAACAAAUAAAUAUCUCUUCUCAAACGACCUUCUUUACUAUUUUUUUAUAUAACAAUUAACAAAGAACAUUCAACUUUUGUUUUUAUCUAACAAAGAGCAUUCAACUUUUGUUUUUAUCUAACAAAGAACAUUCAACUUUUGUUUUUAUCUAACAAGGAACAUUCAACUUUCAGUCAUAGACCAACGACAGUACAGUACACCAGUUUCCAAAUCAUUUUAAUGAUCUCACAUCUACUAUCAGACCGGCCGAUGGUUUUCCUAAACCGGGCAAAAGAUAGUUGUUAGAACCUUCGCCGCCGUUUCCCAACCCUCUGGUAGUGGUUAGGGGAUGAACCGGUAUAAGGAGUUGAAGAAGAUAUGUCCGGAACAAACACUGAGUGAUGGUGAUGUUUGGGCCAGUUGAGACCAGAAGCUGUUGGUGGAGAAUGAAUCUGUGGAACCGCCCAUGAUGUCUCAC